rnacentral:rRNA from 1 species
UACGUAGGGUGCAAGCGUUAUCCGGAAUUAUUGGGCGUAAAGAGCUCGUAGGCGGGUUGUCGCGUCUGCUGUGAAAACUGGAGGCUCAACCUCCAGCCUGCAGUGGGUACGGGCAGACUAGAGUGCGGUAGGGGAGAUUGGAAUUCCUGGUGUAGCGGUGGAAUGCGCAGAUAUCAGGAGGAACACCGAUGGCGAAGGCAGAUCUCUGGGCCGUAACUGACGCUGAGGAGCGAAAGCAUGGGGAGCGAACAGG